UACGUAGGGGGCAAGCGUUGUCCGGAAUCAUUAGGCGUAAAGAGCGUGUAGGCGGCCAGAUAAGUCCGCUGUGAAAUCUCGAGGCUCAACUUCGAGCUGUCGGUGGAAACUGUCUGGCUAGAGUCCGGAAGAGGAGAAUGGAAUUCCUGGUGUAGCGGUGAAAUGCGCAGAUAUCAGGAAGAACACCCGUGGCGAAGGCGGUUCUCUGGGACGGUACUGACGCUGAGACGCGAAAGCGUGGGGAGCGAACAGG
rnacentral:rRNA from 1 species